AUUGAACGCUGGCGGCAUGCCUUACACAUGCAAGUCGAACGGCAGCACGGGAGCAAUCCUGGUGGCGAGUGGCGAACGGGUGAGUAAAGUAUCGGAACGUGCCCAGUCGUGGGGGAUAACGUAGCGAAAGUUACGCUAAUACCGCAUACGAUCUAUGGAUGAAAGCGGGGGAUCGCAAGACCUCGCGCGAUUGGAGCGGCCGAUAUCAGAUUAGGUAGUUGGUGGGGUAAAGGCUCACCAAGCCGCCGGUCUGUAGCUGGUCUGAGAGGACGACCAGCCACACUGGGACUGAGACACGGCCCAGACUCCUACGGGAGGCAGCAGUGGGGAAUUUUGGACAAUGGGCGAAGGCCUGAUCCAGCCAUGCCGCGUGCAGGAUGAAGGCCUUCGGGUUGUAAACUGCUUUUGUACGGAACGAAAAGGUUUGGCCUAAUAAGCUGAGCUCAUGACGGUACCGUAAGAAUAAGCACCGGCUAACUACGUGCCAGCCGCCGCGGUAA
rnacentral:rRNA from 1 species